UUUAUUACAACGGAGAGUUUGAUCCUGGCUCAGGAUGAACGCUAGCGGUAGGCCUAACACAUGCAAGUCGAACGGUAACAGUCCUUCGGGAGCUGACGAGUUGCGAACGGGUGCGUAACGCGUAUGCAACCUACCCAUAACAGAGGGAUAGCCCAUAGAAAUGUGGAUUAAUACCUCAUAGUAUCAUUUGAAGGCAUCUGAAGAUGAUUAAAGAUUUAUCGGUAUAAGAUGGGCAUGCGUAA
rnacentral:rRNA from 1 species